rnacentral:rRNA from 1 species
GUAGGGAAUAUUGGUCAAUGGACGAAAGUCUGAACCAGCCAUUCCGCGUGCAGGAAGAAGAUUCUAUGGAUUGUAAACUGCUUUUAGCAGAGAAGAAACGCCUUCAUUGAUGAGGGUUUGACGGUAUCUGCGGAAUAAGCACCGGCUAACUCCGUGCCAGCAGCCGCGGUAAUACGGGGGGUGCAAGCGUUAUCCGGAAUCACUGGGUUUAAAGGGUGCGUAGGCGGGAAAUUAAGUCAGUGGUGAAAGUCUGUUGCUUAACGAUAGAAUUGCCGUUGAUACUGAUUUUCUUGAAUUGGGUUGAGGUUAGCGGAAUGUGACAUGGAGCGGUGAAAUGCAUAGAUAUGUCAUGGAACACCAAUUGCGAAGGCAGCUAGCUGGGCCUUGAUUGACGCUGAGGCACGAAAGCGUGGGUAGCGAACAGGAUUAGAAACCCCAGUAGUCC